rnacentral:rRNA from 1 species
UACGAAGGGGGCUAGCGUUGCUCGGAAUCACUGGGCGUAAAGCGCACGUAGGCGGCUUUCUAAGUCAGGGGUGAAAUCCUGGAGCUCAACUCCAGAACUGCCUUUGAUACUGGAGAGCUUGAGUCCGGAAGAGGUGAGUGGAACUCCGAGUGUAGAGGUGAAAAUUCGUAGAUAUUCGGAAGAACACCAGUGGCGAAGGGCGGCUCACUGGUCCGGUACUGGACGCUGAUGUGCGAAAAGCGUGGGGGAGCAAACAGG